GUGAGUAACCUGCCCUUGACUCUGGGAUAAGCCUGGGAAACUGGGUCUAAUACUGGAUAUGACUUCUCACCGCAUGGUGGGGGGUGGAAAGAUUUAUUGGUCUUGGAUGGACUCGCGGCCUAUCAGCUUGUUGGUGAGGUAAUGGCUCACCAAGGCGACGACGGGUAGCCGGCCUGAGAGGGUGACCGGCCACACUGGGACUGAGACACGGCCCANACUCCUACGGGAGGCAGCAGUGGGGAAUAUUGCACAAUGGGCGCAAGCCUGAUGCAGCGACGCCGCGUGAGGGAUGACGGCCUUCGGGUUGUAAACCUCUUUCAGUAGGGAAGAAGCGAAAGUGACGGUACCUGCAGAAGAAGCGCCGGCUAACUACGUGCCNNCAGCCGCGGUAAUACGUAGGGCGCGAGCGUUAUCCGGAAUUAUUGGG
rnacentral:rRNA from 1 species